UACAGGGGGGGCAAGCGUUGUUCGGAAUUACUGGGCGUAAAGGGCUCGUAGGUGGCCAACUAAGUCAGACGUGAAAUCCCUCAGCUUAACUGGGGAACUGCGUCUGAUACUGGAUGGCUUGAGUUUGGGAGAGGGAUGCGGAAUUCCAGGUGUAGCGGUGAAAUGCGUAGAUAUCUGGAGGAACACCGGUGGCGAAGGCGGCAUCCUGGACCAAUACUGACACUGAGGAGCGAAAGCCAGGGGGAGCAAACGGG
rnacentral:rRNA from 1 species